AGAAAGGCCGUAUCAUACCGUCACUGUAAUAACUGGAGUAUUAGAAUAUGAAUUGAAUGAGUUUCUGGUCAAGAAUGGUCUCUCCAUGUUGUCUCAGCCCCUCAUUGUCAACGCCACAGUCGGUGGAAUGGUAGCCUCAUCUACUCAUGGUUCAACCUGGAGUGCUCCAACUUGGAGUGGUUAUGUGGUGGAGAUGCGCUUAGUAAACGCUCGCGGUCGAUUGCGACGUUUCUCCAAAGAAGAACACCCAGAACUUAUGGAGGCACUUAUGUGUAAUCUAGGAAUGAUGGGAGUCAUGUAUGACAUCACAAUCCAAGUCAACGGGACGCUUAUUGCUAAAGUACAAAAUCAAUAUGUACCGUUAGAAGAUUUGUUCUAUAAUCAAACUAACUUAAAAAAACGUAGUGACGUCACAUUUCCUUACGGAAAUAUCUUGGUAUCCAUUCAAUUCUGUAACUCCAGAAGAGGAAGCAGUGUUUAGACAUAAUAAAACAGUUCUCAACUCUUGGACAGUUAGAAGAGACAUUGUGUGGCUAAGAACAAUUGUAUUGGUCAAUACUAUACCUGAUGACCACGUGAUACAAGGUCCAGUCUAUUUACCAACCGGGGGAUCAAUAUCGGGUGGAAAUGAAGCAGGAAUACUGAGAGGAAAGGGUGCACUUAACAUAGCAAAGCUGCUUCCGUCGGAGAGUUAUCAUUACUUGGUAGAUGCAUUUCCCACCAUUUUACCGCCAAAGCAUGGAUCGGAAACCAGUGCCGCUUUUGUAUUGAAUAUUGAUAAUUCAUUUUCACGUCCUCUCCGAGCAUUCAAGUUUAUGGCAGAAAAAGUAGAAAACCAAAUCAAAUCUUUAGGAUCAUCUCCAAUGAACACUUUCCUUCCACGAUUUCUACAAAACAUGGAUUGUUUGUUGUGUUUUGGAAACAACGGGAUUAGGCAAGACGACGAUUCUGGACGUUCUAUGGUAAUCGACUUUCUAGCUCCGCCCACACAGUUCGGAUUUUAUGAUA